rnacentral:rRNA from 1 species
GGGCCCGCACAAGCGGUGGAGUAUGUGGCUUAAUUCGAUGCAACGCGAAGAACCUUACCUGGCCUUGACAUGUUUUGGACCGGCGCUGAAAGGCGCCUUCUCUUCGGAGCCGGAGCACAGGUGCUGCAUGGCUGUCGUCAGCUCGUGUCGUGAGAUGUUGCGUUAAGUCGCGCAACGAGCGCAACCCCUGUCCUUAGUUGCCAUCAUUAAGUUGGGCACUCUAAGGAGACAAACCCUCUCUGAGGGUGGGAAGGUGGGGAUGACGUCAAGUCAGGAUGGCCCUUACGGCCAGGGCUGCACACGUACUACAAUGCCCGGUACAGAGGGACGCAAUGCCGCGAGGCAAAGCAAAUCUCAAAAACCGGGCCCAGUUCAGAUUGUAGUCUGCAACUCGACUACAUGAAGUUGGAAUCGCUAGUAAUGGCGCAUCAGCUACGGCG